AUCACAGACAUAAGAGUAGACCCGCAGUGACUUAGACUGGUUUUACUGUCAUUGCACAAAGAAACAUAAGUGAAAUGGACAAUGAAAUGUCACACAAACACAUAUAUAUAUAAUUACAUAAUAUACAAAUAAUCAUGUAUUGCUGAAUAUAUGUAACUUAGUAUUUUCAAGCAGUCUCAGACAGUCUGAGUGAUGGGAUUGUUGAGCAAUCUGAUGGCCAGUGGGAGAGUCUGGCUGUUCUGCAGCGGAUGCUACAGAACCUCCUCCCAGACGCCAACCGGAUGAACCGACCAUGGAGAAGAUGGGUGGAGUCAGAGAGGAUCUGGUUAGCUCUGGCUACGCAGCCCCCAUCAUCCUCUCUGCUGUCUUCACAGAGACUUCCAGUCUGACAAGUUGCAGCUUCCAGACCAGAUGGACAUGCUGCUGGUCAGCAGGCUCUCAGUGGUUCUUCUGUAGAAGGUGGAGAAGAUGGGUGGAGGAGGGAAGCCUUUCUCAUUCGUCUCAGACAGUGCAGGCGCUGCCGUGCCUUUUUCACCAGUGAAGUGAUGCGAGUCGUCCAGCUGAGGUCGUCUGUAAUGUGAAGCCCAGGAACUCAGUGCUGCUGACCGUCUCCACUGUCGUUGAUGAGGAGAGGUGUGUGGUUGGGUCCAGACCUCCUGAAAUCCACAAUGAUCUCUUUUGUGUUGUUGAGUUCAGGAGCAGGUUGUUGGUUCUGCACCAGUCCUACCCUAACUUGGCUGCAGGACACACGGCAGCCAUCUUGGCUAAACCAAAGCAGCAGAAGAAGUUUCAGCACUGCUGGAUAUUUUUGUUCACAUCGAUGGACUGUUGACCUGAGGACUCAGGAAAUAACUUUUCACAAGUAAGAUGGACAUAAUAUUGUUUAUAUUUUGUGAUCAGAAUAUUACUAUACUGUAUUUAUGUCCACCAGCAAAAUACCAGCUAAUAUUAGCUGUAGCGAAUCGGGGUAAUACCUGGUUCAGCCCCACUAGGAAGUUUCACCCAGUUAAAAGUUUUAACAUUUUUAACAUGGACUUAGAUUAUAUCAAGAGCCUACUUUAGAAAUAAAACAUUAUAAUAAAUAUAUUACAUGUUAUAACAUUCACCAGUUCACACAGGUGGCAAUGACUGUUAUUAAUAUGCAAUUCUUUCACUGUCAAAAGUAAGAUGGCUCCCAAAUCUCCCGUUUUUGUUUUGAAGGUUUCCUGAAGACACGAUGUGAGGAAGAAGUGGGAAAAUAAGGAGAGACGGAUUCACUGCACAGGAUGAAUCUGCUGAAUCACUCUGAAUCUAGAACUCCUCGGCUGGAAGACAUGAAAAAUAACCUUUAUAUAUGUUUAUAUAUAAAAAAAAAAACUAUUAUGAGAGGCUGUAUGCUUUGUGGAGAGUUUCAUAUGGCCGAGUUUUGAUGAAGCUAAAGUUGGUUUCCGAUUCGGAAAUGGCUAAAGGGCGAUUCCACCUAAUAUUUCACUACCUUCUGGCAUCUUUAAUCGACUCUAGUUUAAAAACUACAACACCUAGACUCUUCAAACCAGCACUGCAUUAUUCUGCUCUAAUAGCAGAAUAUUUAGAAUCAUGUUUGGGAUUCAUGAAACCUUUAUCUGAUUUGUGAAACGUCAACAAAGGGCAAUUUCACCACUUUUUUAUCUUGGUCCCAUGAGAACUGCUCUAAUUUCAAAUCUACAACACCUAGACUCUUCACAAAACCUGGACUAAAUUAUUCUCAACUAGUAGUAGAAUAUUUAGAACCAUGUUUGUGAAACUUUUUUCUGAUCUGUGAAACUUCACUUCACAGAUCGCUGCAGAAGAUCUUUCCUUCCAACAGCCAUCACCAUCUACAAUAACUCUCUGAAGAAUUAAUGAGUUACACAAAUAUUUAAUUUCCCUUUGGGAUUAAUAAAGUGAUUUUGAAUUAGAAUUUAAUUUGAAUUUGAAAAAAACUGCAUCGAACAAGUGUGAAUAAUAAUCUAAAUUUUAAUGAAGUUUCACAAAUCCCGUAAAAGUUUCACAAAUCCCAAACAUGGAUUAAAAUAUUCUGCUUUUAGUUGAAAAUAAUCUAGUCCAAGUUUGAAAAGUCUAUGAGUUGUACUGGAGCAGUUCUGGUGUGAUCCAGAUGCAAAACAAAAGUGGUAAAAUCAACCUUUAUUAAAGUUUCACAAAUCCGAUAAAGGUUUCACAAAUCCAAAAACAUGGUCCUAAAUAUUCUGCUAUUAGUUGAGAAUAAUCCAGUGCAGGUUUGAAGUGUCUAUGUCUUGUAGUUUGGGAAUUAGAGCAAAUCUCAUGUGACCCAGACCGAAAAAAAAGGUAAAAAUUGCCCUUUACGGAAGUUUCACAAAUCCAAAAACAUUCAGGGUUUCACAAAUCCCAAGCAUGGUUCUAAAUAUUCCGCUAUUAGAGCAGAAUAAUUCAGUCCAGGUGUGAAGAGUCUAGGUGUUGUAGUUUUUAAACUAGAGUCGAUUAAAGAUGUGGAAGGUAGUGAAAAAUUAGGUGGAAUCGCCCUUUAGCCAUUUCCGAAUCGGAAACCAACUUCAGCUUCGUCGUAUUUUGUAGGUGGCUGCAGCAGCAGCAGCAUUGAAUAAACCAGGACCUUGUAGUUAUCAUUAAAACAAUUAACCUGU